rnacentral:rRNA from 1 species
UGGCGGACGGGUGAGUAAAGUAUCGGAACGUGCCCAGUCGUGGGGGAUAACGUAGCGAAAGUUACGCUAAUACCGCAUACGAUCUAUGGAUGAAAGCGGGGGAUCGCAAGACCUCGCGCGAUUGGAGCGGCCGAUAUCAGAUUAGGUAGUUGGUGGGGUAAAGGCUCACCAAGCCGACGAUCUGUAGCUGGUCUGAGAGGACGACCAGCCACACUGGGACUGAGACACGGCCCAGACUCCUACGGGAGGCAGCAGUGGGGAAUCUUGCGCAAUGGGCGAAAGCCUGACGCAGCCAUGCCGCGUGAAUGAUGAAGGUCUUAGGAUUGUAAAAUUCUUUCACCGGGGACGAUAAUGACGGUACCCGGAGAAGAAGCCCCGGCUAACUUCGUGCCAGCAGCCGCGGUAAU